CCCUCUCCUCGACUCCUCGUACGCACGCCCAAUCGCCCGACUCGCGCGAGUAGCCAGACACGGUCGCCCUGUGUCUGCCCCUCUCCCAGUCUCCAAUCUCUCUCUCGCCCAGUUUUGCUCUCGCCUCUCCUCAUCUCCCAGUCCUAGAUCCCACGUGGCCGCGUCCCGUCCGCGAUGCAGUAGCCCGGAGGCGGAGCAGCAGGCGACGGACCAGCCGGUGCCGGUCCGCCGGCGCCCCCCCAUUCCACCCCCGCAGCCGCAGCGGCGGCGCCCCAGUCCCGCUGGCCCCCGCCCGCCGGCCCCGCCGGCCCCCCUCCUCUCCUCCAGUUCGUCCCUGAGCAGCAGCAAUGAAGAAAAAUAAGAUUGCUGGCAGUAGCAUAUUUGCAAUGUGGGAAAAGGCUUCAAAGACAAAGAAAAGGGAUGAAUCAUCCACACCAAAUCAGACAGCAGCUAUCAAUCAUAUCAUCGUUUUAUCAAUCAAAAGGCUCACGACGCAUGCAUACGUAUUAUCUGACGAAACUGAACAAAACAACACCUAGCUAACUGAAGAUGUGCAGCAGGAUUUCAGUCUGGCGUUUCAGUGCGCCAUCCAAACAGCUGAAUCGGCAGCCAGGCAAUACAAAAUCCAAUUCGGAUGCUCAAUACAGACAUUCAAACACAGCGUAAGAGCUUUACAGGCGUUUUACCAACAUCCCCUUUUGUAAGUUCUAACAAACCUGUAAAAAAUCCCUGGCCCCUAUGUCAAUCCUAAACAUUCACGUUCGCUUAAACCUGUAAAAAUAUCCUGCAUUGGUCCAGCAUUACCCCUAAUACCAGUAGGGUAAUGAUCAGAAUGGAAGGGAGAAAGUUUAUGUGCUGUAUCUAGGAGUGCUAGCAAAUACACUACAAAAGGCAGCAUUAUGUUGCUAGCGUCUGCGCCCAUCUCUUAAUAAAUAGAGUAUGUUGUGCACAAGUAAUAAUAAUAAAUGGAGCAUGUAGUACUCUACUCCACAAGGUAUAAGUAGAAGAGAUAAGUGCCACCUUUCCUAUUGUACACGAUCACAUGACCAACUUUACUUAUUCAUUCGUGUGGAUCAAGUCACACAAAACCUGCUCUCAUUUUGGUGGGUGGGAAAAAGAAUCAUCGGCACAACCAUAAUCACCUGGCCAUCAACACAGUAAUAAUAUACCCUGUACAACCCCGGUAACAAUAAUUCUUCUAUCUAGGAGUAUAAUGUAAAGCAAGAAACAGCAGUGGAGCUCUCAUCCAAUAUGCCUAUUCAAAACAGACAACUGCCCGGAGUCUCCAUUGAACAAGUAAACCUCCAGCGGCGUAUACGACGAGAAUGCCGAUGACGAGAACCUCAUCGACGGCUGCAAGAUCCUGCUUCCCUUGGGACAUGGGAUGGUUAGGAGACGUGGCCCAGUCCGCAUCUGCCAAACCUGAUGACAUACAUGGAAGGACAGGAUAUCACACGAGUUGCGGGACGAAUUCACACAUUCUGAACACACAUGUCAAUCUCCAGACUGUCUGCAUCCUCUGGAAUGUAAGAUGAUCAAGAAAAACCUGAACAAGUCAUAGUGGGAGUAACAUAGGUAGUAACAAAGAUGCCACAUAGGCAAAAAUGGUGAUGUGUCAAGCAAUUAAUGAGAGAGGCAAAUAGAGUAACAUAUGAUGUUACCAUCACAUAGCGCUUCCCAAUGCAAAAUGAGUCUACGAAGUGAUAAAUGAAGAUAUAUAUGUUACUACACCUAUGACAGCUCCCACUAUGGAGGUGUUUGGUUCGACGUUUGGUAAUGUAACCUGAUAACAGCGGGAACUGAAAACGUUAUUUUCUGUUUGGUUCGAGUUAAGCGUAAUGAGGUCCCGUGUAAUCAGAUUACACUGUUGUUUAAAUCUGAUUCCGCCCACACCUCUCCGGUAUCUGGUACCUCCCGAUUUUGUAGCAGCAGUUAUUCUCUCGGUCUAGAACAGAGGCAAAGACGCACAUGCUCGGGGGCUUGCGAAACCGGCGAUGGCCGGCGGCGCACGAGACCGGCGAUGGCCGACGGCGCGCGAGAACGGUGCCGGCUGGCGGCGCUUGAGAUCAGAGGACGGCGGCCGCGCGCAUGAUCCGAAGGGCUGAGCGACCGGCGGUGCUGAUUUCGAGGAUGGACGGCGCCGCUUGAGAUCCUAGACGGCCGGGGCGAGCAGGUCGCUGAUGGAGAGGAUCAUGGUCGGCAAGCGGGAUCAAUUCCUUUACGUGAGCGAACCAAACAAACUUGGAAAGAAUUCAUUACACCUCCUAAAACGCCGUGAUCUGAUUACGUUUACGUUACCAUUUCUCUAGCCAAACACCUCCUAUAUGAAUGUAGUAACAUACACUAGUAACAUAUGUAUGUUACUACUCUAAAUUACUCCCCACAAUGACUAGCCUUAAGCAACAAAUUACCUCAA